rnacentral:rRNA from 1 species
CGGUGGGUACGGGCAGGCUAGAGUGCGGUAGGGGAGAAUGGAACUCCUGGUGUAGCGGUGGAAUGCGCAGAUAUCAGGAAGAACACCGAUGGCGAAGGCAGUUCUCUGGGCCGUAACUGACGCUGAGGAGCGAAAGCGUGGGGAGCGAACAGGAUUAGAUACCCUGGUAGUCCACGCCGUAAACGUUGGGCGCUAGAUGUGGGGACCAUUCCACGGUUUCCGUGUCGUAGCUAACGCAUUAAGCGCCCCGCCUGGGGAGUACGGCCGCAAGGCUAAAACUCAAAGGAAUUGACGGGGGCCCGCACAAGCGGCGGAGCAUGCGGAUUAAUUCGAUGCAACGCGAAGAACCUUACCAAGGCUUGACAUAUACCGGUAACGGCCAGAGAUGGUCGCCCCCUUGUGGUCGGUAUACAGGUGGUGCAUGAAAAAUAGUCAGCUCGUGUCGUGAGAUGUUGGGUUAAGUCCCGCAACGAGCGCAACCCUCGUUCUAUGUUGCCAGCGGUUCGGCCGGGGACUCAUAGGAGACUGCCGGGGUCAACUCGGAGGAAGGUGGGGAUGACGUCAAAUCAUCAUGCCCCUUAUGUCUUGGGCUUCACGCAUGCUACAAUGGCCGGUACAAAGGGCUGCGAUGCUGUAAGGCGGAGCGAAUCCCAAAAAGCCGGUCUCAGUUCGGAUUGAGGUCUGCAACUCGACCUCAUGAAGUCGGAGUCGCUAGUAAUCGCAGAUCAGCAACGCUUCGGUGAAUACGUUCCCGGGCCUUGUACAC